UGUUUUGUUUCUUGCAUAUUGAAGAACGUCCAUUUUCAACAAGCCUUUUGAGUCUGUAUCUGUAUUGGAUUUCAAACUGUUUUAUUGUUAAUCACUUCAGGAUGUUUCAUGGGAGGCAACAAACAAACAAACAAACAAACAAACAGGCAGACAGACAUCUCAGGGAGUUUUUGUACAUGAUGUCCAUGUUGUAAUGGAAUCAAAGUGGAGCUCUCUUCUGCCCACUCUUCCCUUAAACAUGUGGGCUGAGAUAAUUUUUCAUCUGGACAUUUCUGUCAGUACUUAUUUUAUAUGGCUAACAUUUGCUUUACUGCCUUCUAGAUUUAUCCAUUCUGAAAAGUUCCGGUGGAUGAAUGGAAGCUGCUGAAUGGAAUUAGUCAGCCAUCCACCUUCAGAGAUGGCUGAUCUAAGCAAGAGCAAGCUAAGAAUAGUGCCUCUCAUAACUGGUGGUAUUUUUCUACUCCCCAUUACAUUCACUAACCUUGCACAGUAAUCUCAUCUGCAUCAGGACUUCUAGGAGUGCAGCUGUGCUGGUCUUCAACACCCUUGCCGGCAGCAGAAAGCAUAAACGAGGCCUGAAGAGCUUCUUUAAAGCCAACCCUGCGUACAACAUUAUGUAAGUAAACGAUCUUGUAGCACGGGCGUUGGGUUCCUCCACGGCAAAUGGCAUGUCCUGAGG